rnacentral:rRNA from 1 species
GCCUAACACAUGCAAGUCGAGGGGUAACGGGGGCUUCGGCUCGCUGACGACCGGCGCACGGGUGAGUAACGCGUAUGCAACCUGCCUGUAACAGCGGGAUAGCUCCCUGAAAGGGGAAUUAACACCGCAUAACACCACGCUCUCGCAUGGGGACGGGGUAAAAUAUUUAUAGGUUACAGAUGGGCAUGCGUGACAUUAGUUAGUUGGUGAGGUAACGGCUCACCAAGACUGCGAUGUCUAGGGGUUCUGAGAGGAAGGUCCCCCACACUGGAACUGAGACACGGUCCAGACUCCUACGGGAGGCAGCAGUGAGGAAUAUUGGUCAAUGGACGCAAGUCUGGACCAGCCAUGUCGCGUGCAGGAUGACUGCCCUAUGGGUUGUAAACUGCUUUUAUAUUGGAAGAAUUGCGCUUACGAGUUAAGCGUUUGACGGUACAUUAUGAAUAAGGAUCGGCUAACUCCGUGCCAGCAGCCGCGGUAAUACGGAGGAUCCGAGCGUUAUCCGGAAUUAUUGGGUUUAAAGGGUGCGUAGGCGGCCAUUUAAGUCAGCGGUGAAAUUUUGCAGCUUAACUGUAACAGUGCCGUUGAUACUGUUUGGCUAGGAUUUGGUUGUAGUGUGCGGAAUGUGUGGUGUUGCGGUGAAAUGCUUAGAUAUCACACAGAACACCGAUUGCGAAGGCAGCACACUAAGUCAUUAUUGACGCUGAGGCACGAAAGUGUGGGGAUCAAACAGGAUUAGAUACCCUGGUAGUCCACACUGUAAACGAUGAUAACUCGCUGUCGGCGAUACACAGUCGGUGGCCAAGCGAAAGCAUUAAGUUAUCCACCUGGGGAGUACGACCGCAAGGUUGAAACUCAAAGGAAUUGACGGGGGCCCGCACAAGCGGAGGAACAUGUGGUUUAAUUCGAUGAUACGCGAGGAACCUUACCCGGGCUCGAACGGUGCAUGAAUAUACGAGAGAUUGUAUAGUCCUUCGGGACAUGUAUCGAGGUGCUGCAUGGUUGUCGUCAGCUCGUGCCGUGAGGUGUCGGCUUAAGUGCCAUAACGAGCGCAACCCUUGUCAUUAGUUGCCAUCAGGUCAAGCUGGGGACUUUAAUGAGACUGCCACCGUAAGGUGUGAGGAAGGGGGGGAUGACGUCAAAUCAGCACGGCCCUUAUGUCCGGGGCGACACACGUGUUACAAUGGGAGGUACAGAGGGCAGCUAUCCGGUGACGGAAUGCUAAUCUCCAAAACCUUUCUCAGUUCGGAUUGGAGUCUGCAACUCGACUCCAUGAAGGUGGAUUCGCUAGUAAUCGCGCAUCAGCCAUGGCGCGGUGAAUACGUUCCCGGGCCUUGUACACACCGCCCGUCA